rnacentral:tRNA from 1 species
UGGGGUUGUGGGUCAGUGGUAGAGUGCUCGCCUAGCAUGCAAGGCCCUGGGUUGGAUCCUCAGCACCACAA